rnacentral:rRNA from 1 species
UAGGGAAUCUUCGGCAAUGGACGAAAGUCUGACCGAGCAACGCCGCGUGAGUGAAGAAGGUUUUCGGAUCGUAAAACUCUGUUGUUAGAGAAGAACAAGGACGUUAGUAACUGAACGUCCCCUGACGGUAUCUAACCAGAAAGCCACGGCUAACUACGUGCCAGCAGCCGCGGUAAUACGUAGGUGGCAAGCGUUGUCCGGAUUUACUGGGCGUAAAGCGAGCGCAGGCGGUUUCUUAAGUCUGAUGUGAAAGCCCCCGGCUCAACCGGGGAGGGUCAUUGGAUACGGGGAGACUGGAGUGCAGAAGAGGAGAGUGGAAUUCCAUGUGUAGCGGUGAAAUGCGUAGAUAUAUGGAGGAACACCAGUGGCGAAGGCGGCUCUCUGGUCUGUAACUGACGCUGAGGCUCGAAAGCGUGGGGAGCAAACAGG